rnacentral:lncRNA from 1 species
CGUUAAUUCAACCACUCGUCUAUAUUUUACAUAUAUUUUAUAUUCAGCUACUGUAAUAGGCCACAGAUAGUGAUUGACAGCUUUAUAAGCAAGUCAGAAUCAUACGUUACUCCCAUGGUCCUAAAGUCCGUAAACGAUACACGGACUGAUUUUACUGACGGACAGGAAGUAAGAGCAACAGAAAGUAGCUUCGGUUAAUUGGGAAAAAGAUGUCAAUUACACGCGGAUGUGUUGAGUUCAAAAUGAAUAUUAUACCUGUGGAGCAGCAAAAACUGGCCACCGGUAAAGGAAGUAGACGUCUUUCAAAGCCUUUAGGCCUCCAUCUAUUAUCUCAGUGUAAAUGGGCUUACCUCCUGGAACAGUAUAGAGCCGAUAGUGACAAGGUAAAAAUUUUAAUUUUGUGUAUAAGAAUAUUAUUGUGUUGCCUAAAAGUACUACCUGCAGGCGCUGCCCCAUGACAUAACACAGGAAUCAUACGCCACCUGCUUGUCUCAGGUGAAAUAGUCCCAGCAUGUUGCGUGAUCGCGUGUCACGGGUGUUAAAAUCACGAAGACCCACGCAACUGUGAAUAUGGUCACUUGUUGCCAUGUAUUUAAUAUGUUACCUGGGUUUAAGCGCACGGCGGAGGCGUGCGUUUUAUUACAGACUGCCGUGAGCGUGAUUUUCACCUGUUUCGCGAUACAAAUCUUUUGAAAUAUCGUAGCCCCUCCCUCUUGGGAUGGUCCUGAGGUGAGUCGGCUAUAAACUCCUGCUCUCAGAGUGUAGGUGAGACGCGAUGCAGGGCUCCGGCAGGUAUGACAGCUGAGGAGGAGCUCAUUGGAUCCCACUCAAAGCACACGGCGCCUUGACGCACGCAACGUAAGGAUUUUACGCACAGAACAUUUUUGGACAGAUCCAUUUGGCUCUGAUUAAAAC